GGCACUGGACCCCGCCUCCUAGACCUGCCUCCCAAUUUUCGGCGAGUGGUGUAGCCCUGGGCGGCGUGCAAAGUGUGCGACGGCGGCGCUCACCCCCGCUGCGCGCCUCCUUACCUCCAGCUUCCCGGGUAGCGCACGCGGCACGGCCACCCGCCCCUCCCUCCCGGCGGCGCGCGCCCGCGGAGGAAGGUGUCGGCGAGUCCAAGUCCAAGUAAUCGCGACGACGACUGAAAGGGUUUCGCAUCCGAUGAGAGGUGCUCUGUGAGCGCGAAACUAGCACGGCCGGGAGUAGGCGGCAGGCGGCACGCCCGGGACGCGGGAGCCGGCGGCGGUGGCCCUGGUGCGGGGUACACUCCUACCUCCACUCUACAAGGCCUCUUUUCUGAGGAUCUGAAAGCCCACAGAGCAUGAUUGCAAGUCUCCAGAGAACACUGGGAAUUAAGGCCAGGAAGUGAAUGCUGCUUGCCAGACCCUUCAAACUGCAGCUGCUCCCUCACCUCACGGCAGGCCUGCCCCUUUCUCCAGCUCUGCUGAAAAGUUGCUGCUCUGGCCCUCCGCUUCCCACAAUCCAAACUGAAGGUCUUUAUCACACUUUGGAUUAUGGCCUCUCUUCUGCACAAAAAUAACACCUUUUGAGGAAAGCUCAAAGAAAGCACUGUUGCAGGUUGGUGCUUUUCACCUAAACAAAAGCAGGGAAAAAUACUGAACCAAUAGACCUGGGUGCACUGGUCAGUCGCCUCACAACCAAUAAUUUCACUACAGUCUGAAGAGAUCAUGACUCCUAGUCAUUCCCCGACUGCAAGAAAACCACUUGAAGACAGGGCCCAAGUUAUAUAUCUUUAUAUAUAUUGAAUAAAAACUUGGUUGAAUUUGA